CGCACCUUGCGCUCCUUGGUAUUCCGAGGAGCAUGCCUGUUUGAGUAUCGUGAAAUUCUCAACCCAUCUAGUUUUUUUUGAAAGUUAGUUGGGCUUGGAUCUUGGAGGUUGCUGGUUUCUCAGAAUUCAGCUCUUCUGAAAUACAUUAGCAAAGUCUUUGCUGACUAUCUUUGGUAUGAUAAUUAUCUAUAUCAUUGAUAUCAGCGUCCGUUAAUGGGAAGAACUUUGCUUCUAAUAGUCUAUUCAGACAACUUGACAAUUUGAUCUCAAAUCAGGUAGGACUACCCGCUGAACUUAA
rnacentral:misc_RNA from 1 species